CAUUUGUCUUUCUUCAACUAGAGAAAACCUUUUUUUUUUCUUUUCUCUAAAAAAAAAAAAAAAACUAAUGGCUUCCCAAAAAGUAAUCACUGUCAUCACUACUUCCUCCGAUAUCUCCACCGGAGAUUCACACCCGCCGGCGAAUUGUCCGAAAGGACACUGUUUGUGCUCUCCGACGACCCAUCGAGGGUCGUUCAGGUGCAGGUACCACCGUACCUCUGGUGAGACAACAAGUACUGCAUGGUUCAAGAGAUCAAAAUCCAUGCCUGUUAAUAAGAAUAAUAAUUUGUCAUCAAUUUCUCCUAAAUCAGUUGAAUCUACUUAAUUAAUUACUAGUAAUUUGUACUUUUUCCUAUAUAUAUGUUUCAGUUUUACUGGAUAAAUGGAAAAGUACUUGUUUUUUGUUUUCUU